rnacentral:misc_RNA from 1 species
GUAUUACAUUUCGACCAUCAAAGGUCUACUAGUUACAUUCUAUAGACUUCAUAAUAGGGUGUAUAAAGACAUAGGCGCAGAAAUUAAUCCGCGCCUACAAUGAGUGCACAGGUGGAUUGAAAAGGCGGAGUGCACAUGCGCCUUGCAACGCCAGCAACAUCCAUUGGAUUCAAUAAUGAUCCUUCCGCAGGUUCACCUACGGAAA